CAGCAGCCACGGGAAUACGAAGGGUGCAAGCGUUAAUCGGAAUUACUGGGCGUAAAGCGUGCGUAGGCGGUUGUGUAAGACAGGUGUGAAAUCCCCGGGCUCAACCUGGGAACUGCAUUUGUGACUGGCAGGCUAGAGUAUGGCAGAGGGGGGUGGAAUUCCGCGUGUAGCAGUGAAAUGCGUAGAUAUGCGGAGGAACACCGAUGGCGAAGGCAGCCCCCUGGGCCAAUACUGACGCUCAUGCACGAAAGCGUGGGGAGCAAACAGGAUUAGAUACCCCCGUAGUCCCUGUCUCUUAUAC
rnacentral:rRNA from 1 species